GCAUAACGCGAAGAACCUUACCAGGCCUUGACAUGCAGAGAACUUUCCAGAGAUGGAUUGGUGCCUUCGGGAACUCUGACACAGGUGCUGCAUGGCUGUCGUCAGCUCGUGUCGUGAGAUGUUGGGUUAAGUCCCGUAACGAGCGCAACCCUGUCCUUAGUUACCAGCACGUUAUGGUGGGCACUCUAAGGAGACUGCCGGUGACAAACCGGAGGAAGGUGGGGAUGGACGUCAAGGUCAUCAUGGCCCUUACGGCCUGGGACUACACACGUGCUACAAUGGUCGGUACAGAGGGUUGCCAAGCCGCGAGGUGGAGCUAAUCUCACAAAACCGAUCGUAGUCCGGAUCGCAGUCUGCAACUCGACUGCGUGAAGUCGGAAUCGCUAGUAAUCGCGGAAUCAGAAUGUCGCGGUGAAUACGUUCCCCGGGGUCUUGUACACACCGAGUCGUGGGG
rnacentral:rRNA from 1 species